rnacentral:pre_miRNA from 1 species
AAUAAACGAAUUUCUAUAUUUUUGUUUAAAAUUUUUGACUCUUUGUCUUAUUUAAAAUUUUUUUAUGAUUAAUAUUUUUAUUGUUACUACAUGAUAAAACAUGAAUAGUAUUUUACGUGUGACUAAUUUUUUUUCAACUUUUUAAUAAUUUUUUUAAAUAAGACGGAUGGUCAAAUCCUCGACCUACAGAAUCCAG